GCUGGCGGCACGCCUAACACAUGCAAGUCGAACGAAGUAGCAAUACUUAGUGGCAGACGGGUGAGUAACAUGUAGGUAUCUGCCCUUUGGCCUGGAAUAACACGAGGAAACUUGUGCUAAUACCGGAUAAGUCUUUACGGAGAAAGCUUUAUGCACCAUUGGAUGAGCCUGCACUUGAUUAGUUUGUUGGUGGGGUAAUGGCCUACCAAGACUGUGAUCAAUAGCUGAUUUGAGAGGAUGAUCAGCCACAUUGGGACUGAGACACGGCCCAAACUCCUACGGGAGGCAGCAGUGGGGAAUCUUGCACAAUGGAGGAAACUCUGAUGCAGCGAUGCCGCGUGAGUGAAGAAGGCCUUUGGGUUGUAAAGCUCUUUCGUCGGGGAAGAAAAUGACUGUACCCGAAUAAGAAGGUCCGGCUAACUUCGUGCCAGCAGCCGCGGUAAUACGAAGGGACCUAGCGUAGUUCGGAAUUACUGGGCUUAAAGAGUUCGUAGGUGGUUGAAAAAGUUGGUGGUGAAAUCCCAGAGCUUAACUCUGGAACUGCCAUCAAAACUUUUCAGCUAGAGUAUGAUAGAGGAAAGUAGAAUUUCUAGUGUAGAGGUGAAAUUCGUAGAUAUUAGAAAGAAUACCGAUUGCGAAGGCAGCUUUCUGGAUCAUUACUGACACUGAGGAACGAAAGCAUGGGUAGCGAAGAGGAUUAGAUACCCUCGUAGUCCAUGCCGUAAACGAUGUGUGUUAGACGUUGGAAAUUUAUUUUCAGUGUCGCAGCGAAAGCGAUAAACACACCGCCUGGGGAGUACGACC
rnacentral:rRNA from 1 species